ensembl:lncRNA
CCUAGAUAUCAUUUGUGGCAAAAGAUAGUAUGGCUUGAGAUGCAGAUAAACAUUUCUACUGGACUGAUAAACACAUGAUCUCAAAAAGUGAGUUUCCUACAUUGUCAGAGGUGUCCUUAUACGUCAUUUGGGCUACAAUUUGAGUUUGAGUUUUUAAAGGAUAGAUAUUUGGAUUUUUUUAAAUUAUUUUUUGGCUUUUGACUUUUAUUUGCAGACAGGAAAGAGAGCAGGGGAAAACACAUAGCAAAGGGCCACAGACUCGACACUAGGCCACUCCAUUUCAGGCACCUACACAACCAUGUCUGUCUCAAACUACUCGUCAGGUGUUAAAAUAUAAACUUUUUUUGCUCCUGAAAUGAUCCCUCUUAUUGAUACUGGCCACUAGUCACUAAUUUAAUUUAAAGUUUUAAUGAAAGCUUAAAGACUUUUUUUAGGGAUUAUUUUUUGCACAUAUUCACUGUCUUUGAUUUUUUUUUUUUUUUUGAUUUUUAAAGAUACAAAACUAUAUAAACUUCAGAUUUUUUAUUUAUUUAUUUAUAUCUAUUUAUCUAUUCACUGCACAGGAUGUUUAAUUUUUUUUAUUUUUAUCACUUUUUCUUUUUUAAUCUCCAAACUGUUAUGGAAGGAUUUAUUUUAGUAAGCAAAGCAUGUUUUGAUGUACCAACAAUGGGAAUAGGAGUACUGUUGUAAGACAAUUUAAAAACAAAAGACAAUUUACUCUUUUUAAGGAGUUGUAACAGGCUCUGAAUCUGGUCUGUUAACCAACAGUUACUGAAACGGGUCAAGCUUGUGCUGCACUCCAGUGGGUGUUUUUAGUUAUAGGGUUCAAACUAUACUUUGAACUCAAAGGAUUUUCUUUGCCUUAAAUAAGGAUUAACAAAAGCAGCUAAAAGGCUGAAAAGACCAAGUAAUAAAAGACUUUAAAUGUGAUUCAUUUGUUUGUCAAAUUUAUCAAGAAGUAAACUGUCUCGAAAUGGUGAAAAAACAUGUCUAAGUAUGAUCUGUUAAAGCAAACAUUUGAGUAAAUGAAGUAAAUGCAAUGUUUUUCAAUACCUAACAUGGUAAAUUCAAAAAAGCUGACUGGUUUCACAGACAUGAACACGGUUUUCC